rnacentral:rRNA from 1 species
UUCCGUAUUCUGCCAGUGGGCAUACGCUCUUUUUAAAGAUUUAGCCAUGCAUGUGCCAGUUCAUACAUUAAAAAUGUGAGACUGCGGACGGCUCAGUAUAUCAGUUAUAAUCUGCUCGAUUGUUAAGGUUAUUGGAUAACCGUGGGAAAUCUAGAGCUAAUACAUGCAGUUUGCGGUGGUUGCUUUCGGGCGACUGGCGUGGCAUUUAUUAGAGAAUACCAAUGGCACGUACGAGAGAUCGUGCGAGCGGGGUGAAUCUAGAUAACUGUGCAGAUCGCAUGGCCUUGAGCCGGCGACAUUUCGAUUGAGUUUCUGCCCUAUCACCUAGAUGCAAGUGUAUUGUACUUGCAUGGGGGUCACGGGUGACGGAGGAUCAGGGUUCGAUCCCGGAGAGGGAGCCUGAGAAACGGCUACCACAUCCAAGGAAGGCAGCAGGCGCGCAAAUUACCCAAUCCAGACAAUGGGAGGUGGUGACGAAAAGUACCGAAUAACGCCAAAUGGUUGUUAGUUCAGAAUGGGAAUCAAUUUAAGCAAUUGAUUGAGUAACGACUGGAGGGCAAGUCUGGUGCCAGCAGCCGCGGUAAUUCCAGCUCCAGUAGCGUAUCUCAAAGUUGCUGCGCUUAAAACGCUCGUAGUUGGAUCAUUAACUGUGUGUGGGGUAAGUUGGAACGAUGUUUGCCCUACACCGACAUGGCCGCGUUGCAUGUUCUCAUGUUUCGUGACAUGUUGGUUGGCGGAACGCGUAACAACACAUAACCGACAUGCAGUAAUUGCGCGUGGGGAUGGCCUUUGACCUUAAGUGCGUUGAGGGCCGUGUCUCACGGGAUGUGCCUUGAGUAAAUCAGAGUGCUCAAAGCAGGCAUUGCGCUGAAUGUUGAUAGCAUGGAACGAACAAUCGUGUACAGUGCGCGCUGAUAUCGGUGCUGGUGUGUGCUGGCGUGCAAAAGUCGCGUCGCCCCAGUGCUGCAGUGCGCGACACCGACCACCAUGUACGGAUGUUGGUUCCGUAUUGGGGUACUGAUUAAGAGGAGCGGUUGGGGGCAUUGGUAUUUGGCAGCGAGAGGUGAAAUUCUUGGACCUGCCAAGGACUAACAAAUGCGAAGGCAUCUGUCCAGACCGUAUCCAUUAAUCAAGAACGAUAGUGAGAGGUUCGAAGACGAUCAGAUACCGUCCUAGUUCUCACUGUAAACUAUGCCGACCCGGGAUCAGCUUGGAGUUAUAUACUCAUGCUCGAGGUUGGUCCCCCUGGGAAACCUGAAGUUUUUCGGUUGCGGGGGGAGUAUGGUCGCAAGGCUGAAACUUUAAAGGAAUUGACGGAAGGGCACCACCCAAGGGUGGAGCCUGCGGCUUAAUUUGACUCAACACGGGGAAACUUACCUGGUCCGGACAUCCGAAGGAUACUCAGACCUAAGAUCUUAUUUGAUCUGGUGAUUGGUGGUGCAUGGCCGUUCUUAGUUCGUGAAGUGAUUUGUCAGGUUUAUUCCGGUAACGGACGAGACUGCGUUCUCCAUUUGACGAGCUGAAGUUUGUGCGUUCGCACACAGUCAUUGGCAACGGUGACUGCGUUGUGACCGUAUGGCUGCCGGUGGUGGUGGGCGUUGUUGUGCGGCUCAAGGUUACCUUUCGGGGUGCCUUCAGUCGUAAGGAUGGCGUCGCAUGCUGCUGGCAAGCCUUCAGCCAGACAGUGCUUCGUUUGGAGUGCUGUAUCAUGGAGAGACAACGGAACAUAUUACAAAAUCCGAGGAAGUGUGGCUAUAACAGGUCUGUGAUGCCCUUAGAUGUUCAGGGCUGCACGCGCGCUACAAUGGCAGCGACAGCGAGUGUUUGAAUCGAAAGAUUCGGGUAAUCUUGUAAUCGUUGCCGUGAUGGGGAUUGACGUUUGUAACUCCUCAUGAAAGAGGAAUCCCUAGUAUGUGCGAUUCAUGAGAUCCCCAAAUUACGUCCCUGCCCUUUGACACACCCCCGU